rnacentral:rRNA from 1 species
ACGUUAGCGACAGAAGAAGCACCGGCUAACUCCGUGCCAGCAGCCGCGGUAAUACGGAGGGUGCGAGCGUUAAUCGGAAUUACUGGGCGUAAAGCGCAUGCAGGUGGUUUGUUAAGUCAGAUGUGAAAGCCCGGGGCUCAACCUCGGAAUAGCAUUUGAAACUGGCAGACUAGAGUACUGUAGAGGGGGGUAGAAUUUCAGGUGUAGCGGUGAAAUGCGUAGAGAUCUGAAGGAAUACCGGUGGCGAAGGCGGCCCCCUGGACAGAUACUGACACUCAGAUGCGAAAGCGUGGGGAGCAAACAGGAUUAGAUACCCUGGUAGUCCACGCCGUAAACGAUGUCUACUUGGAGGUUGUGGCCUUGAGCCGUGGCUUUCGGAGCUAACGCGUUAAGUAGACCGCCUGGGGAGUACGGUCGCAAGAUUAAAACUCAAAUGAAUUGACGGGGGCCCGCACAAGCGGUGGAGCAUGUGGUUUAAUUCGAUGCAACGCGAAGAACCUUACCUACUCUUGACAUCCAGAGAACUUUCCAGAGAUGGAUUGGUGCCUUCGGGAAC